rnacentral:tRNA from 2 species
GGGCCCAUAGCGUAGUUGGUAGCGCGUUCCCAUGGCAUGGGAAAGGUCAGGGGUUCGAGUCCCCUUGGGUCCA